GCUGUUGUGGCUCAGUUGGUAGAGCAGCUGAUUCGUAAUCAGCAGGUCGCCGGUUCAAAUCCGGCCAGCAGCUCCA
rnacentral:tRNA from 1 species